rnacentral:lncRNA from 1 species
GCCGCGGACGCGAAAACAAAGGGCGAAAGUCUCUCCACGUGCGCGCGCACGUCUCGCAGUCGGCGGCGGCCGCGGCGUUGCGGUCGAUGGCGCCGUGGCUGUUGAUGGUGGCGUGACGCGUGAAGCAGCCCAGGAGCGUCGCCUGCGCGGCGCCGAUGGCAAACCACUUGCGGCCGCGGCGGGCGCGCGCCCCGUCCGGCCCUGUGCUCUCGUGGGCUCGGGUCAUAUCGAGCGCCACCCAGUGGCUCGUCGAGACCGAGCGCAGGGCGCCCACGCACAAGAGGGUGCACACGUCGUCGGGCCGCAUCGGUGUGUCGCCGGUGCAAUCGUCUUGGUCGCCGCCGCCACCCCUACAAGCAGCCACUUUGGAGUCGCACGGUCGUCGGUCCAUGGCGUAGGCGGCCAGGAGAUGCACGCCGCCGUUGCCGGCGCCCGCCAGGUUUCGGCCUGCCGUGUCGACAAUCCCGGUCAGGCUGUCGCCGACGAUCGCCGUCGGGUUGGCGCAGGCGACGCCCUGCAGUUCGACGACCAGGAGCGCGGGACCGAGGAAGCCGGCGACUGUGGCGCGACGAGGCGGUGGUGCGCUCUCCAUCGGGCAGUCAGGUGACAAAGGGAAGCAAGAACGCGGAUAAACGGGGUGGGCGAUCUUGAAACUAGAAUAAAAGAGCGUCGGUCUCUCUCUUUUUU